rnacentral:lncRNA from 13 species
ACAAGCACAGCUUGAGUCUGAGUUCUAGCUACUGCCCAGUUGUGUGACCUCGGCCAAUCUGUUCCAGACUCAGAACAGAGCGACUCAGACUUGGAACACAGCGACUCAGAAUCAGGACACAGUGACUCAGACUCGGGACACAGCGACUCAGACUCGGAAGGUAAGUUGUCUGACUCAGACUCAGACAAUGUAAGUUAUUGGUGGAUCUACCAUUCUGGGGUCUGGAGGACAAUGGUCCUCUUCUCAUAGCUCUUCUAGGCUGUGCCCCAGUAGGGACUCCUCGUGGGAGCUCCAACCCCACCUUUGCCUUCCACACUGUCCUAACAGAG